rfam:Gossypium hirsutum cultivar TM-1 chromosome 22, whole genome shotgun sequence
AUUAAAAAAAUUCAUCUAUUUUUAUUAUUAAAAAUUGACGUGCUUGAUAAAAUAAUCAAAGAGUGACAUAUGGCGUGCUACAUAUACAUCAUGUUGAUGUACAUGUUCAGGGACCAGUAUUUAACUAUAAAAAUAGAUGAAUUUUUUUUUA